rnacentral:rRNA from 1 species
UACGUAGGGGGGCUAGCGUUGUCCGGAAUCAUUGGGCGUAAAAGAGCGUGUAGGCGGCCCGGUAAGUCCGCUGUGAAAGUCGGGGGGUCAACCCUCGAAUGCCGGUGGAUACUGUCGGGCUAGAGUGCGGAAGAGGCGAGUGGAAUUCCUGGUGUAGCGGUGAAAUGCGCAGAUAUCAGGAGGAACACCGAUUGCGAAAGGCAGCUCGCUGGGACGUAACUGACGCUGGAGACGCGAAAAGCGUGGGGGAGCAAACAGG